rnacentral:rRNA from 1 species
GCCAGACUCCUACGGGAGGCAGCAGUGGGGGAUAUUGCACAAUGGGGGGAACCCUGAUGCAGCGACGCCGCGUGGGUGAAGAAGUAUUUCGGUAUGUAAAGCCCUAUCGGCAGGGAAGAAAUUGGACGGUACCUGACUAAGAAGCCCUGGCUAACUACGUGCCAGCAGCCGCGGUAAUACGUAGGGGGCAAGCGUUAUCCGGAUUCACUGGGUGUAAAGGGAGCGUGGACGGCCAUGCAAGCCUGGAGUGAAAGCCCGGGGCCCAACCCCGGGACUGCUCUGGGAACUGUGCGGCUGGAGUGCGGGAGGGGCAGGCGGAAUUCCUGGUGUAGCGGUGAAAUGCGUAGAUAUCAGGAGGAACACCGGCGGCGAAGGCGGCCUGCUGGACCGCGACUGACGUUGAGGCUCGAAAGCGUGGGGAGCAAACAGGAUUAGAUACCCUCGUAA